rnacentral:tRNA from 1 species
GCGCCCUUAGUUCAGUGGUAGAACGCUUCCUCGACACGGAAGAGGCCGUAAGUUCGAUCCUUACAGGGCGCA